GAUCCCUUCUGAUUGCUGCAAAGGCCCAGAGGCCCCGCGCCCGGGGCAGCUCCCAUUUCGCCUGGGCUGAGGAGGGAACAGGCCUGGGACGGUCUGCAGGCUCCAGAGCCUCUGCAGAUGGCUGGGUCAUUUUGUGGUUUACAAAUGAUCAAGUCAGGUUGAAGCCACAGUCUCUGUGGUUACAAGGCAACUGUGAUUAGUCACCCAGUUAGUGACCCAGUUAUGGCACACCCUCUUUUAAAAGGACAUCAUUCAACAUCUUGCUGGCUUGAUUUCAGAAACGUUCCAUGUAGACCAGGAAAGUGAACACUGCAAGGGGGGUGGGGGGGGUGUUGGGGAUUGAAGCCUAGGUUAUGUGUUUGCAUAUGCCAAGAGUUGGAUUUUCCAAAAAGGAGUAAAUCUGGGAGUUAACUUUUGAGGCUAGAAUCUCACUGAACUUUGGCGAGAGAUUGCUUUUCAAGUUCAGGUAUGGCUGUUUCUGCAAGGAGUCAGGGAGAGAGAGAAAAGAGUUACCUCGUGAGCUUUGACUUGGCUUAUAUAUUCAUGGCCAUCUGUAAAAUGAAAGUGGGGAGGCAGGAAGGGGAAGAAGAACACUACAUAUGAAGGCUUGUGUGGCUUUUGAUUUUUUAAAAAUAGCCUUUCUUUUUACCACAAUGGCAUAGGAACUCGUAGACAUGAGUCCCCAGUAAUAGUAAACAAAUUAGCUUCUUUUAUCUGAAAAACAAGUAGGGUAAGUCUCUCUCUCUCUCUCUCUCUCUCUCUCUCUCUCUCUCUUUUUGCAAAGAGAAAAUGCAAAACAAAAAUCCCCCCUCCUCCUAAAGGCUUCUUUGCUGGUUGAGUGUUUGUCCAGGAACAAAUAGUCUUUUAUUCGAACCGUCUCCAAAAGUUCAUAAGCAAAAAAAGUGUCCAACGUCUGGUUACCGACAAUGCAAUCUCUGGCUGCAUGGUGAAGCUUUUCUGUCCUGAAUUUGUGAUCUGCUAUCAGAGUCCUUUAAUUUCUGUGAACAGAAGGCUCUUUGGGAGAAGAAAGGUUGGGGGUGGGGAGUGACAUUGGAAUCAGUCUUUUUUCCCCCCUUUUGCUGUUUUCUUCCAGGCAGCAAGUAGUGCUUGAAUUCUUCUGAUCUUUCCCAGCAUCUUACUGAGCUAAAUUAUUUUAAACAUUUGGUCACCUUUUGUGGUUUGAAACUUCAAUUCGAGUGGAUUCCAUUUCACACGCUUACUGAGAAGCUUCAGGAGAAGCCUGGUCCUUUCCUAGGUGCAGAGGACACAGGAGAAAGCAAGACACCCAGAGGUCACACUCUCAUGGAGCUUAUAUUCUAAUGUCCUGUGGUCUCCACGCUGGGGAUACGCCUGCCUGCCGUUCACAGUCAAGCAGGGGAGGCAGAUAAUACAAACAAGCAAUGACCUUGAAGGUUUGAGGUUCCUGACAGACUGCCAAGUGGAUGUGAAUUUGGGGACACUGGUCAUCAUUGGGAAAGCCAGGAAGGACUUGAGAAAAAUCAUUCAGAUAACGUGUGUGUUUGUUUCUGCGGCAGCCUGAGAUCCUGUGGCUGUCAGGAGAGAAAUUCACUCCAGCUGGCCCGGAAAAGUGGGGAAUUGUUAGGGUACAGAGAGCUUCACGGGGUGUGUUGCUCACCGGGAAGCUAUGAGGAUGGGAACAGCUCUUCUGGACUAUGUAGGACAAUGUGGCCACCUGCCACUCGAACCUUCCCUUACACCGCAUGCCCCUCUGUGCUCAUGCGUGAGGCCUCCAGCCUCCAUAUCUGCCCCCUGCAGAGCUGACUCCUGCUCUCUCUUGCCAAAGGACUUGACAGCUGCAUUGAAAAGCCUCCUGUGGACUUCACCACGAUCUUUAAAAGCCUUUUUUGGAUCUUUUAUUUAUUUUUGAGAGAGAGGGACAGAGAGUGCGCAGGGGGAGGAACAGAGAGAGAGGGAGACACAGAAUCUGAAGGAGGCUCCAGGUUCCGAGCCGUCAGCCCAGAGCCCGACGCGGGGCUCAAACCCACAAACCGUGAGAUCAUGACCUGACCCGAAGUCGGACGCUCAACCGACGGAGCCACCCAGGCGCCCUGAGUACAGAACUUCUGAUCAGACACGAUAUUGGUACAUUCUUUAUCUCCCUGUCUCACCCAUGAAAUCUGCUGUGUGUUCCUGUUCCAUGGAGCAGGGAGGAAAGGGCGUGUGCGCGAAACUGUCUGCAUGUCUCCUUUACCAGGAGGAUCUGGGCAGUUUGCGUGUACUGUACUCUCAAAAGCUUCAGUCCCCUACUCUGUAAGGCAGCGCCUACUUCCCCAGGAGAGACAGUUGCACGAGGUAACACGUGAAAUGCUCGCACUCGGUUGACUGUUCCUUUCGUCCGUUUACUUCUCCGUAAUUCUUGUGCAAACCACUGUUUGCCCAGAAAACAGGGAUUGUACUUCUAUGACAUCUUUAUAGUGAUUCCUAUGCAUGGGUAUUAACAAAUGUUUAUAGAAUGAUCGUAUAUUUUUGUUCCGUUAAAUAGUAGUUGUAGCCACUCGAUAACAUGUUAGGAAAUUUGAGAUGAGGAAAAAUCAUUUACCUAUACUCCUGCCAUUUAAAUAAAAACAUAUAAACUAUGA